GGUUGUGUAGUGUAGCGGUUAUCACUCCGGAUUCUGAUGUCUUUUAGAAGCAUUCCGGCAACCCCGGUUCGAUUCCGGGCACGACCU
rnacentral:tRNA from 1 species